UACGUAGGUGGCGAGCGUUAUCCGGAUUUACUGGGUGUAAAGGGCGUGUAGGCGGGCUUGCAAGUCAGAUGUGAAAUUCCAGGGCUCAACCCUGGAACUGCAUUUGAAACUGUAGGUCUUGAGUGCUGGAGAGGCAAUCGGAAUUCCGUGUGUAGCGGUGAAAUGCGUAGAUAUUAGGAGGAACACCAGUGGCGAAGGCGGCUUGCUGGACGACAACUGACGCUGAGGCGCGAAAGCGUGGGGAGCAAACAGG
rnacentral:rRNA from 1 species